AGGAAACGCCAAGAAUGUGCCACGCCCCACCUACAGCGACUGCGCAGGCUCCAGCGAAGCGCUGUGGGCUUGGUGCGGGCGCAGACGUCCUACCCCGUCUGGUCAGCGCUAGUCAGGGUUGGUUUUCGGGUGGUUUUUUUUGUGUUUGUUAUGUCUUGUCUUGCUUUGUUUGCCUCCUAAGGACAGUACCUUUUGGAGGGACAGUGUCAGUAGAAGGAGAGACGGUGGGAGAGUUCCAUGGUGUGCUGGCCUGACAGCGCAUCGGCCUCUGUGCCUUCUGAAAGCUCUGCGCUGUGGUACCUGUCUUCUGGUUCUACGAAUUUCAAUCAGUGUGACAGUGCCUAAAAGCAUCACAGACAACCACAGUUUACAUGUAUAAGACAGUAUGACAGUUAUAAUAGCCUUAAACACUUGAACCGUCACCAUACACAAGUACAGUGCUAAAUUUUUCACGGAUUGUCUCACUUAAGCCAGCCAACAGCCUUAUAAGGUUUUGGUCCCACCGCUCCAGUGAAAUGGCUGUUCUCAACGUCACCAGAUUCCAGGACCAAAACCCCUCACCACCAACUGUUUAGUCUGGCUAUAAGAAAAUGGAUACAUUUUAUUCUGAAAAAGUAAGUUACCUAAAUUGAAAAAAGUGUCUCUUCUUUCAGUCUUUACUCCAAUAGAGGCCCCCUCUCCAGCCACUUCCAACCAAGUAAGGGCACUUAUUCUGUCACUGAAGCUUGUCUCCUGAUAACGUUAUUG